GACGAACGCUGGCGGCGUGCUUAACACAUGCAAGUCGAACGGAAAGGCGCUGCGUUUGUGGGGUGCUCGAGUGGCGAGCGGGUGAGUGACACGUGAGUAACAUGCCCUUGUAUUUGUGAUAACUCCAGGAGACUGGGGAUCAUACCGCAUAUGAGCUCCUGCUGCAUGGGGGGGGAUGGAAAGUUUCGGCGGUGCGGGAUCGUCUCGCGGCUUAUCAGCUUGUUGGUGGGGUAGUGGCGUACCAAGGCUUUGACGGGUAGCCGGCCUGGGAGGGUGGCCGGCCUCCUUGCGCCUGCGGGACGGCGCAGAAUCCUACGGGACGCAGUAGUGGGGAGUAUUGCACAGCGGGCGGAAGCCUGAUGCAGAAACGUUCCGUGCGUGAUACCGUCUUUCGGGUUGUAAACCGCUUUGGCCGUUGACGAAGCGUGAGUGACGGUAAUGGGUAAGGAAGCACCGGCUAACUACGUG
rnacentral:rRNA from 1 species